AUAUCCCCUUCCCCAGCUCACUGCUAGUGCCCGGAAAGUGCAGGCGUCUGCCCCAGAGCGGCCUCUGCUUCUUGGGGCCAGGGGCCAGGCUGUGGCCCCCAGACACCAGCCAUGGCAGGGCCUGGCCCUCAGGCGUGGGGACUGGCGGCCCAUCCAGCCUGCAGCCGCCCAGCCCUGCACGGGACGCCACACCCAAUGCAAGCGGCCCUGGGGCUGCAGGACGCCAUGGGAGCGUCAGGGCAGCUGGUCAGUGUCAGCGCCAUGGAGCAGCAAAGUUUUAUAGCCCCUUCCAAGGGCCGCGAGUGGUGCUGUGGCCUGUGAGGAACCCUGAGCCCAGGCCAGCCAGGGGCUCAGGUCAGCAGCCUUGGGACGCCAAGUGCCUGCCAGCGCCCCCAGAACCCAGCCCUGGGCUCACCCCCAUAGGCCCGGCCCCACAGGUGUCCAACAGUGGGUCUGUCACGGAGUCCCCAGGCGAUGCUCUGGGACUGCUCCCCACAAAGCCAGGCAGGACUUUGGGGAGCCUCCUCUCCCUCGGAGCAGACUGUCUUCAGGGAAGGAGCUCACACGGCUUCACCUUCCUGGGUCUCUCCUGGGAGCAUUCAGCAUAUGCCCCUCCGUGCGCUUCCCACAGCGAGUCCGCCCCGGCGGGGUCCUGGGGAAGCCAGAGGGUCCUGCACCCCCACUUCGCAGUCAGACGUGACUCAACCAGCCGGGAAAACAGAAGGUUUAUUAGUCAACAGGAACACGGCGUAGGGCAGAACUUCUUAGCACAGAAAUCAGUGACUUUCAGCCAAGUCCCUCUUGUGGGAGGGGAACCCAGAGCCUGCACCCUAAGCCAGCCGGGACUGACUCGCUUCCAGCUGUCUGGCCCCUGCCCUGCCCCUUGCUCCUCCUCCAGCCUUUGUCUUGCUUCCUGGGCCAGAGUCAUCUGGCCACCUCCCCCUCCUGGGCCUCUGCAAAAGUCACUCCCCUUAUUCCCACCACCUAGACAUUGGUGCAAUACACAGGGAAACUGAGGCACACACAGCAUUCAUGCAAAACAGUCCGACUCACAUACAACAUAACAAGGGAA
rnacentral:lncRNA from 1 species